GAUUAACGCUAGCGGCAGGCCUAAUACAUGCAAGUUGUACGGGAUUAUUGGUAGCAAUACUGAUAUGAGAGUAGCGCACGGGUGCGUAACACGUAUGCAACCUGCCUUUAACGUGGGGAAUAGCUCACCGAAAGGUGAAUUAACACCGCAUAAAAUCACAGAAGGACAUCCUUCAAUGAUUAAAUCUCCGGAGGUUAAAGAUGGGCAUGCGUCCGAUUAGCUUAGNGGCGGGGUACAGCCCACCAAGGCAACGAGUCGGUAGGGGUCUGAGAGGAUGACUCCCCCACACUGGUACU
rnacentral:rRNA from 1 species